rnacentral:lncRNA from 10 species
UUCUAAUUGGUGGAUGGGAGGACACAGAUUAGGAACACAGAAACAAAUGAGGUAACUUCUGUCACUGUCACCACCAUGACAACACCCUCUACUGGAAAGGUAUGAGUCAUCCCAGCUGAGGACAUCCUAAACCAGCCAGCCCCCAGCCAACCUAUCCGCUGACCACAGAUGCAUGAACAGGGUCUUGCUCUGUCUCCCAAGCUGGAGUGUAGCAGCAUGAUCAUGGCUCACUGUGCAGCCUCAACCUCCUGGGCUCAAGUAAUCCUCCUGCCUCAGCCUCCCAAGUAGCUGGGACUAUAGGUUGAGAGGUCAUUCUUACCAAGAGCAGCAAAGACCAACUCAUAGAAUCAGCAAUGAAUCUUCGUGUUUCAGCAGAGGGAAAAUAACCGCCUUUAGCUCACCUCGCAAUUGCUGUA